rnacentral:rRNA from 1 species
UACGUAGGUGGCAAGCGUUGUCCGGAUUUAUUGGGUUUAAAGGGUGCGUAGGCGGCUUUGUAAGUCAGUGGUGAAAUAUGGCAGCUCAACUGUCAGGGUGCCAUUGAUACUGCGGAGCUUGAGUACAGAUGAGGUAGGCGGAAUUGACGGUGUAGCGGUGAAAUGUUUAGAUAUCGUCAAGAACACCGAUAGCGAAGGCAGCUUACUAGGCUGUAACUGACGCUGAGGCACGAAAGUGUGGGGAGCAAACAGG